rnacentral:lncRNA from 1 species
GGAGGAAGCAGGCUCCCUGCCGAGCAGAGAGCCCGAUGUAGGGCUCGAUCCCAGGACCCUGGGAUCAUGACCUGAGCCCAAGGCAGAGGCUUUAACCCACUGAGCCACCCAGGCACCCCUGAAGUGUGUGUUCUAAACACAGCUCCCCAGUGGGGUUGAGCUCAAGCUUAACCAGGGGUGACCUGCUUGACAACAUACCAACAUAUAUGGCUGACACAAACAUCCAGGAGUAUGACUUUGUUUUGAAAAUCUGCUUUGAGGAUAUCUCACUAUAGAAGACAGAAUGCAUAGGAAAUGAAGGAAUACCUUUGAUAAACAUAAGCAUUAACAUUUUGCAUAAUAGAAAAUGCCAAAAAUGUUUCUUCCUAAUUAUAUUUUAACCAAAACAGGUACUCUGAAAAUAUAGUUUAUAAAUGAAACUCUGAACAAGUCGAUACUAUACAGAUGCCAGGACUCCGAAAUCUAUGAAUUCAAGAAUUCUCAUGCUCACUGAUGAAUCACUAAAUCUACCCUUGAAACUAAU